rnacentral:rRNA from 1 species
GACGAACGCUGGAGGCGUGCCUAAUACAUGCAAGUAGGACGCAGUUGCGAACGGGUGAGUCACGCGUAGGUAACUGCCUCUUAGAGGGGGAUAACUAUUGGAAACGAUAGCUAAUACCGCAUACUCGUAGAUGGACCUGCGUUGUAUUAGAUAGUAGGUAGGGUAAUGGCGUACCUAGGCGACGAUACAUAGCCGACCUGGUGUGGUGAUCGGCCACACUGGGACUGAGACACGGCCCAGACUCCUACGGGAGGCAGCAGUAGGGAAUCUGCGGCAAUGGGGGGAACCCUGACCGAGCAACGCCGCGUGAGUGAAGAAGGUUUUCGGAUCGUAAAGCUCUGUUGUUAAGGAAGCGGUACUUAACCAGAAAGGGACGGCUAACUACGUGCCAGCAGCCGCGGUAAUUC